UACGUAGGGUGCAAGCGUUGUUCGGAAUCAUUGGGCGUAAAGCGCGUGUAGGCGGUUUGCUAAGUCCGGCGUGAAAGCCCGAGGCUUAACCUCGGAAGUGCACUGGAUACUGGCAAGCUAGAGGACGGGAGAGGGAAGCGGAAUUCCUGGUGUAGGGGUGAAAUCCGUAGAUAUCAGGAGGAACAUCGGUGGCGAAGGCGGCUUCCUGGUCCGUAACUGACGCUAAGACGCGAAAGCAUGGGUAGCAAACAGG
rnacentral:rRNA from 1 species